rnacentral:rRNA from 1 species
GAUGAACGCUGGCGGCGUGCCUAAUACAUGCAAGUCGAGCGAACAGAUGAGGAGCUUGCUCCUCUGACGUUAGCGGCGGACGGGUGAGUAACACGUGGAUAACCUACCUAUAAGACUGGGAUAACUUCGGGAAACCGGAGCUAAUACCGGAUAAUAUAUUGAACCGCAUGGUUCAAUAGUGAAAGACGGUUUUGCUGUCACUUAUAGAUGGAUCCGCGCCGCAUUAGAUAGUUGGUAAGGUAACGGCUUACCAAGGCAACGAUGCGUAGCCGACCUGAGAGGGUGAUCGGCCACACGGGAACUGAGACACGGUCCAGACGCCUACGGGAGGCAGCAGUAGGGAAUCUGCCGCAAUGGGCGAAAGCCUGACGGAGCAACGCCGCGUGAGUGAUGAAGGUCUUCGGAUCGUAAAACUCUGUUAUUAGGGAAGAACAAAUGUGUAAGUAACUAUGCACGUCUUGACGGUACCUAAUCAGAAAGCCACGGCUAACUACGUG